AAAGCACAUUUGUGUUUUGGGGCUGUAGGACGAGUGGCUUUAUUUAGAGGUCUGUGAUGGCCUCAGGUUACGCGGCUCAGACUCAUGACUAAACUGUGAUGUUAUUCAUUCUAGAGAGAGGCUGAAAUGUUUUAGUCGCUCUCUGGGCCCCGAAAGAUGCUUCACUUCUGAAUACGAAAACCUGUGUUUAGACCUGAAUUGAUGGAUUCAGCAUUUCGCCAGAAGUUUCUGGGUUUUGUAUUUUGAGGAUGGGUGCCGCCUUCAAGAAGUUCUGUAUACGAUUCUGCUGUUGCUGCUGCUGUGAGGAUGAUAAUGAGGAGGACGAAAAGAGACAUUUACUUAGUCACGACACGUUGGAAUAUUUCGAUCGCGAGGCGAAAAAAAGGCGGGACCAAGAGACCAACCUGUGGAACGA